rnacentral:rRNA from 1 species
AUUGAACGCUAGCGGCAUGCUUUACACAUGCAAGUCGAACGAGUGGCGGACGGGUGAGUAAUAUAUCGGAACGUGCCCAGUAGCGGGGGAUAACUACUCGAAAGAUUAGCUAAUACCGCAUACUCUUGGAGCGGCCGAUAUCGGAUUAGCUAGUUGGUGGGGUAAAGGCUCACCAAGGCGACGAUCCGUAGCGGGUCUGAGAGGACGACCAGCCACACUGGGACUGAGACACGGCCCAGACUCCUACGGGAGGCAGCAGUGGGGAAUUUUGGACAAUGGGGGAAACCCUGAUCCAGCCAUGCCGCGUGUAUGAGAAGGCCUUCGGGUUGUAAAGUACUUUUGGCAGAGAAGCGGUAUCUGCAGAAUAAGCACCGGCUAACUACGUGCCAGCAGCCGCGGUAAUUC